AGACAACAGGGAUGCCCUAGUAACGGCGAGUGAAGCGGCAACAGCUCAAAUUUGAAAUCUGGCCCUUGGGUCCGAGUUGUAAUUUGCAGAGGAUGUUUUUGGCGUGGUGCCUUCUGAGUUCUCUGGAACGAGACGCCUUAGAGGGUGAGAGCCCCGUACAGUCGGACGCCUAGCCUAUAUAAAACUCCUUCGACGAGUCGAGUUGUUUGGGAAUGCAGCUCAAAAUGGGAGGUAAAUUUCUUCUAAAGCUAAAUACCGGCCAGAGACCGAUAGCGCACAAGUAGAGUGAUCGAAAGAUGAAAAGCACUUUGAAAAGAGGGUUAAACAGCACGUGAAAUUGUUGAAAGGGAAGCGUUUGCGACCAGAUCUCUGCCGGGCGGAUCAUGCGGUGUUCUCACCGCUGCACACCGCCCGGCCGAGGCCAGCAUCGGUCUGUGCGGGGGGACAAAAGUCUGAGGAACGUGGCUCCCCCGGGAGUGUUAUAGCCUCUUACAUAAUACCCCCGCGUGGACCGAGGUACGCGCUCUGCAAGGAUGCUGGCGUAAUGGUCGUCAACGACCCGUCUUGAAACACGGACCAAGGAGUCGAACAUUUGUGCGAGUGUUUGGGUGUCAAACCCUCACGCGUAAUGAAAGUGAACGGAGGUGAGAGCCCUUACGG
rnacentral:rRNA from 1 species